UGGCAGGCAAAAGUGCUUCAGAGGCUAUGCACUCCAAAGCAGAUGGAUUCGUCCUUGGCGUGCUUCUUGGAGUGGAGUUGCUGGGCUGCUGAUCUUGCCGCUCUCAGGCUCAGGGUCACUGAUCCAUCCCCACCUUCCCUAAGGUCCACAGCUGCCUGCAGUGUUCUCCAACUAGGAACUAUGGCGUCCAGAGGUGCUGCGAGUCGUUGUAUUCCUACUGCUCCACAGGAUCCUGCUCUUGAAGGGCAACAACUGCAAUACCACCUGGAAACUCCAGUUUGACGUCCAGCCCAGCCUCCUCUGAUGUUCCUGAUGUCAUUCUGGACUUCUUUAAUUGACAAAACCCAGAGCUUAGCCACCUCCUUCUUGAUCCUGAUGAGAACCUGAUGUGAACCAGUGAUUCUGAAACCAUCCUUUAGCCUGUGUUCAUCAUCAUCCAGUAUAAGCCAAGCAAACCACUCUCUGGAGAAAGAGGUGACCUUAUCAGCCAUCCCGGUACUUUGCUCCUCAAAAGGCACCGUGGAACCCAGGAGGUGGACCUAAACCUCUCCUAGACCAG
ensembl:lncRNA